GACGAACGCUGGCGGCGUGCCUAAUACAUGCAAGUAGAACGCUGAAGGAGGAGCUUGCUUCUCUGGAUGAGUUGCAAACGUGUGAGUAACGCGUAGGUAACCUGCCUGGUAGCGGGGGAUAACUAUUGGAAACGAUAGCUAAUACCGCAUAAUAUUGACUAUUGCAUGAUAGUCAGUUGAAAGGUGCUACUGCACCACUACCAGAUGGACCUGCGUUGUAUUAGCUAGUUGGUGGGGUAACGGCUCACCAAGGCGACGAUACAUAGCCGACCUGAGAGGGUGAUCGGCCACACUGGGACUGAGACACGGCCCAGACUCCUACGGGAGGCAGCAGUAGGGAAUCUUCGGCAAUGGACGGAAGUCUGACCGAGCAACGCCGCGUGAGUGAAGAAGGUUUUCGGAUCGUAAAGCUCUGUUGUAAGAGAAGAACGAGUGUGAGAGUGGAAAGCUCACACUGUGACGGUAGCUUACCAGAAAGGGACGGCUAACUACGUG
rnacentral:rRNA from 1 species